rnacentral:rRNA from 1 species
UACGUAGGGGGCAAGCGUUGUCCGGAAUCAUUGGGCGUAAAGAGCGUGUAGGCGGUCCGGUAAGUCGGCUGUGAAAGUCCAGGGCUCAACCCUGGGAUGCCGGUCGAUACUGCCGGACUAGAGUUCGGAAGAGGCGAGUGGAAUUCCCGGUGUAGCGGUGAAAUGACGCAGAUAUCGGGAGGAACACCUAUGGCGAAGGCAGCUCGCUGGGACGUUACUGACGCUGAGACGCGAAAGCGUGGGGAGCAAACAGG